rnacentral:rRNA from 1 species
GACGAACGCUGGCGGCGUGCCUAAUACAUGCAAGUCGAGCGGACAGACGGGAGCUUGCUCCCUGAUGUUAGCGGCGGACGGGUGAGUAACACGUGGGUAACCUGCCUGUAAGACUGGGAUAACUCCGGGAAACCGGGGCUAAUACCGGAUGGUUGUCUGAACCGCAUGGUUCAGACAUAAAAGGUGGCUUCGGCUACCACUUACAGAUGGACCCGCGGCGCAUUAGCUAGUUGGUGAGGUAACGGCUCACCAAGGCAACGAUGCGUAGCCGACCUGAGAGGGUGAUCGGCCACCCUUGGACUGGGACACGGCCCAGACUCCUACGGGGGGCAGCAGUAGGGAAUCUUCCGCAAUGGACGAAAGUCUGACGGAGCAACGCCGCGUGAGUGAUGAAGGUUUUCGGAUCGUAAAGCUCUGUUGUUAGGGAAGAACAAGUGCCGUUCAAAUAGGGCGGCACCUUGACGGUACCUAACCAGAAAGCCACGGCUAACUACGUG